rnacentral:rRNA from 1 species
CCUACGGGUGGCUGCAGUCGAGAAUCAUUCACAAUGGGGGAAACCCUGAUGGUGUGACGCCGCGUGGGGGAAUGAAGGUCUUCGGAUUGUAAACCCCUGUCAUGUGGGAGCAAAUUAGAAAGAUAGUACCACACGAGGAAGAGACGGCUAACUCUGUGCCAGCAGCUGCGGUACUACAGAGGUCUCAAGCGGUGUUCGGAAUCACUGGGCGUAAAGGGUGCGUAGGCUGUUUCGUAAGUCGGGUGUGAAAGGUGCGGGCUCAACGCGCGGACGGCAUAUGAUACUGUGAAACUAGAGAAUUGGAGCGGGAGGCGGAAUGCAUGGUGUAGCAGUGAAAUGCGUAGAUAUC